UCUCCGUAGGUGAACCUGCGGAGGGAUCAUUACUGAGUGAGGGCUCACGCCCGACCUCCCACCCUUUGUGAACCCAUCUUGUUGCUUCGGGGGCGACCCUGCCGGCACUCGGUCGCCGGGCGCCCCCGAAGGUCUCCCAACACUGCAUCUUUGCGUCGGAGUUUGAAGCAAGUCAGACAAAACUUUCAACAACGGAUCUCUUGGUUCUGGCAUCGAUGAAGAACGCAGC
rnacentral:misc_RNA from 1 species